rnacentral:tRNA from 1 species
UGUCUUGUAGUAUAUUUAUUACUGUAAACUGCAACUUUACCAAAGCAUUAGCCAAGGCAU